rnacentral:rRNA from 1 species
UGAGUAACGCGUAUGCGACCUGCCCGUUGCAGGGGGGAUAAUCGGGAGAAAUCCCGUCUAAUACCGCGUAACGCCGCGGGGCUGCAUGGCCCUGCGGCCAAAGGGAGCGAUUCCGGCAACGGAUGGGCAUGCGUGACAUUAGCUAGUUGGCGGGGCAACGGCCCACCAAGGCGACGAUGUCUAGGGGUUCUGAGAGGAAGGCCCCCCACACUGGUACUGAGACACGGACCAGACUCCUACGGAAGGCAGCAG